GGCUCUGCAGCAGCAGUGCCUUAAGCUAGACCAACAGGAGUGCGCUCCCAAGCAAAACGAUGGCAUCUCUCCCAUCCCUGCACCUUGCCGCAACUCUGCCUCAGAGGCAACUUUUCUCCCUGAUUUGCUAACUAUGCCCUAGUCAAGCAGGAGCCAGGAGAGGGGUGGGUAGGGUGGAAAGGAGCUGGGGGGACUGGAGCRGGGCUGGCCCCGGAGACACCCCGCCCCGAYGGGGCGGGACGAGCUGCCCGCCCCAGUCCGAGGCACUUAAAAGCCGGGGCAGCAGAGCCAGGGAGCAGGGAGCGACCAGCCGGGGCUGCACUGGAGCCGGUUGCACAAGCUGCAGAGAUUGCUACGGACGCCAGCAAAACGUCGGCCGAAAUGGCAACCGAGGCCUGUUGAACUAAAGCAUCUUGGAGCACUCCUGAGCCAGACCUGAUAGCUCAAGGGCUAAAUGCUACUGACAGYGACAUGGCCCCACCUUUUCAACUGCUUGCAAAGGUCUGAAAGUCCAGCGGCCUUUCUGGUCAGGGCUACUGCACUGAAACAACAUGCUUGAGCAUGGACUCUGCUUUACUUUGAUAACGACUACAUUGAGCAAAAGAUCUUUUUUUAGGAGAACAUAUAAAUAAAUAUUUUUAACUUGCCUUUUAACUUCA
rnacentral:lncRNA from 1 species